UACGUAGGGGGCUAGCGUUGUUCGGAAUUACUGGGCGUAAAGCGCGCGUAGGCGGCUUAGCAAGUUAGAGGUGAAAGCCCGGAGCUUAACUCCGGAAUUGCCUUUAAAACUGCAAAGCUAGAAUCAUGGAGAGGUGAGUGGAAUUCCGAGUGUAGAGGUGAAAUUCGUAGAUAUUCGGAAGAACACCAGUGGCGAAGGCGACUCACUGGACAUGUAUUGACGCUGAGGUGCGAAGGCGUGGGGAGCAAACAGG
rnacentral:rRNA from 1 species